rnacentral:rRNA from 1 species
AUUGAACGCUGGCGGCAGGCCUAACACAUGCAAGUCGAGCGAGCGGCGGACGGGUGAGUAAUGUAUGGGAAACUGCCUGAUGGAGGGGGAUCACUACUGGAAACGGUAGCUAAUACCGCAUACCAUCAGCUGAACCCAUAUGGGAUUAGCUUGUAGGUGGGGUAAAGGCUCACCUAGGCGACGAUCCCGAGCUGGUCUGAGAGGAUGACCAGCCACACUGGAACUGAGACACGGUCCAGACUCCUACGGGAGGCAGCAGGGGGGAAUAUUGCACAAUGGGCGCAAGCCUGAUGCAGCCAUGCCGCGUGUGUGAAGAAGGCCUUCGGGUUGUAAAGCACGUUCAGCGAGGAGGCGUUACUCGCAGAAGAAGCACCGGCUAACUCCGUGCCAGCAGCCGCGGUAAUAC